AGUGAACGCUGGCGGUAGGCCUAACACAUGCAAGUCGAACGUCAGCACAGUAAGAGCUUGCUCUUACGGGUGGCGAGUGGCGGACGGGUGAGGAAUACAUCGGAAUCUACUUUUUCGUGGGGGAUAACGUAGGGAAACUUACGCUAAUACCGCAUACGACCUACGGGUGAAAGCAGGGGAUCUUCGGACCUUGCGCGAUUGAAUGAGCCGAUGUCGGAUUAGCUAGUUGGCGGGGUAAAGGCCCACCAAGGCGACGAUCCGUAGCUGGUCUGAGAGGAUGAACAGCCACACUGGAACUGAGACACGGUCCAGACUCCUACGGGAGGCAGCAGUGGGGAAUAUUGGAAAAUGGGCGCAAGCCUGAUCCAGCCAUACCGCGUGGGUGAAGAAGGCCUUCGGGUCUUAAAGCCCUUUUGUUGGGAAAGAAAAGCAGCAGGUUAAUACCCCGCUGUUCUGACGGUACCCAAAGAAUAAGCACCGGCUAACUUCGUG
rnacentral:rRNA from 1 species